rnacentral:rRNA from 1 species
UCGUAACAAGGUCUCCGUUGGUGAACCAGCGGAGGGAUCAUUACAGAGUUGAAAAACUCCAACCCCUGUGAACCUACCUUUACUGUUGCUUCGGCGGACGAUGGCCCCAGGGCCGGACGCCGCCGGAGGUUACAAACCCUGAAUUUUUAGUGUAUCUCUGAGCACAAAAACAAAUAAUUAAAACUUUCAACAACGGAUCUCUUGGUUCUGGCAUCGAUGAAGAACGCAGCGAAAUGCGAUAAGUAAUGUGAAUUGCAGAAUUCAGUGAAUCAUCGAAUCUUUGAACGCACAUUGCGCCCGCCGGUAUUCCGGCGGGCAUGCCUGUCCGAGCGUCAUUUCACCACUCAAGCCCAGCUUGGUGUUGGGGCACCCGGCCGCCCGGCGGUCGGGGCCCCCAAGAACAUCGGCGGUCUCGCUGGGACCCUGAACGCAGUAACUCGCGGUAAAACGCGCUUCGUUCGGAGGCUUUUCCCGGCGGGCUCCAGCCGCUAAAACCCCCUAAAAUUCUUAGGUUGACCUCGGAUCAGGUAGGAAUACCCGCUGAACUUAAGCAUAUCA